GACGAACGCUGGCGGCGUGCCUAAUACAUGCAAGUCGAACGCAGUGGGGACGGGUGAGUAACACGUGGGUAACCUCCCAUCAGAGGGGAUAACAAUUGGAAACAGGUGCUAAACCGAUACUGAUGGAUGGACUCGCGGUGCAUUAGCUAGUUGGUGGGGUAACGGCGAACCAAGGCCACGAUGCAUAGCCGACCUGAGAGUGUGAUUGUCCACACUGGGACUGAGACACCGCCCAGACGCCAGCGGGAGGCGGCAGUAGAGAAUCUUCGGCAAUGAACGAAAGUCUGACCGAGCAACGCCGCGUGAGUUGAGAAGGUUUUCGGAUCGUAAAACUCUGUUGUUAGAGAGGCGGUAUCUAACCAGAGAGCCACGGCUAACUACGUGCCAGCAGCCGCGGUAAUUC
rnacentral:rRNA from 1 species